rnacentral:rRNA from 1 species
UACGUAGGGGCCUAGCGUUGUCCGGAUUUAUUGGGCGUAAAGAGCUCGUAGGCGGUUCGGUAAGUCAGGUGUGAAAUCUCCACGCUCAACGUGGAGGCGCCACCUGAAACUGCCGUGACCUCGAGUCCGGAUAGGGGAGUGUGGAAGUUCCGGUGUAGCGGUGAAAUGACGUAGAUAUCGGAAGGAACACCAGUGGCGAAAAGCGGCUUCCUGGUCCAGCAUCGACGUCAGGCACGAAAGCGUGGGGAGCAAACAGG